GCAAUAAAUAGCUAGCAUUUUUCCCUCAGCGCUGUUAUUCCGGGUUCUUCACCUUCCUCUAUGAGGUGGCUCUAGGCGAUUUCAAUCUAAAAUGAUGGCUCAGCAGCGCAGAUCGACGAUGGGUCCAGUGAUGGGUGUGACCCGUCUCAUGGGCUAUUCCCCGGGCGUCCCUCCGCCGGUGAUCGCUUCAUGUACAGAUGCACCGCGAGGAUAAAGCCCCAUCAUCUUCCUCCACGGCAUCUGGUGGUGCACGUGCUCCUCGACAGCACUGGUGCGGGUAAGCUUUGAUCUAUUGUUGCUCUUGAUGGAUCGGAUUAGUCAAAUGAAACUGCGUCGGUUGUGCGAUGAAGUAGAAGUAGCAGCUAGAACAGGGAGGAAAGAGAAACCACAUAAUCACUCACAAAUGCCGGAUCUGAAUCCUUGAGUUGAUUUCAGACGCAGGUUCCUACUUCCUCAGGCAGCACGAUGACUAGCCCCGUGCUUGAGUUCUAACUGUGAAGGCAAUUUCACUAAUACUUGGCAGAUGCAUGCUAGAGUAGUAUUUUUUUAUAAUUUUUAGAGUAGUAUCUUUUAUAAUUUUUAGAGUAGUAUUUUGUUCAUAUUCAAGUAGUAUUUUCACAACUUUGAGUAGUAUUUUUUCAUAAAUCAUAGUAGUAUUUUUUCUUAUCCAAGUAGUAUUUUCCACAAUUUAGAAUAGUAUUUUCAUUAUGUUGAGUAGUAUUUUUUAUAAUUAGAGUAGUAUUUUUUGUAAUUUAUAGUAGUUCAUAAUAUAUGAAUCAUGCGACCAUGUGGUCAUGCUGCGACACAACAGCACGACCACUUCAGCAGUCCAUAAGAUGUCGUACUCUCAUUGUUAUAAUUCUGCAAGUAAUUAGUCACUUUUGGUUUUCUUUUCUUGUAAGCUAAGCCGAUAGGAUGAACUAUUGAGCUAACCAAUUUGUGCUCUCACGGAAUGGAAUUUGGGCUUCAAGAAACCAAAGCUGAAGUGGUGCAUUAUUGCUGUUGUAGCGGAGGAAUAGAGGAAGGCAAUAACUUAAAAGAAAAAUGAAGUUAGUUAAAUAUUUUGUUUGCUAUUCUGAGUCGUCAAAUGCUUACUUUCCUAUUGUACAAACAACUAGUGAUUCGCGGGAUGCAAUUUGUAAUACUAGCACAUAUUUACAGAACAUGUAUGAUUCACUUUGAGUAUAGUUCUUAUAUGGUCCACGUAUAAACAAAAGUUUGGUGUUUAAGACCUCUAA